rnacentral:rRNA from 1 species
UUACUUAGCGGCGGACGGGUGAGUACACGUGGGCAACCUGCCUAUGAGACUGGGAUAACUCCGGGAAACCGGGGCUAUACCGGAUAAUUCUUUUCUACUCAUGUAGAGAAGUUGAAAGAUGGUUUCGGCUAUCACUCAUAGAUGGGCCCGCGGCGCAUUAGCUAGUUGGUGAGGUAACGGCUCACCAAGGCGACGAUGCGUAGCCGACCUGAGAGGGUGAUCGGCCACACUGGGA